AGGAGCGGAAGCAAGCAGCGCAAGCGAAGCUCUCGUUCGCGCGC
rnacentral:SRP_RNA from 1 species